GCCUCGAUAGCUCAGCAGGCAGAGCGCCCGUUUCGUAAUCGGGAGGUCGCCGGAUCGAUUCCGGCUCGAGGCUCCA
rnacentral:tRNA from 1 species